rnacentral:tRNA from 1 species
GCUUCUGAAGGAUAAUAGCUUAUCCAUUGGUCUUAGGAACCAAAAACUCUUGGUGCAAGUCCAAGCUAUAGCU